CAGUGAAUAGUUUAAGAAAAAUACUAGUUUUGGAGACUAGAGAUGUAAAACUAUUUCAUUGA
rnacentral:tRNA from 1 species